UUUAACAUCAACAUUUCUUCAUUUCCACAAUUCAAUCAAAUUUCAUAAGUUUAACAACAACAUUUUCAUCAUUCACACAAUCCAGUCAAAUUUCCUAGGUUUAACAACAACAUUUUCAUCAUGCACACAAUUUAAUUAAGUUUCAAGGGUUUAACAACCACAUUUUCAUCAUUCCCAAUAUUCAAUCAAAUUUCAUGGGUUUAAC
rnacentral:lncRNA from 1 species